rnacentral:rRNA from 1 species
UACAGAGGGUGCGAGCGUUGUCCGGAAUCAUUGGGCGUAAAGCGCGCGUAGGCGGCCCUGUAAGUCCGUUGUGAAAGUCAAAGGCUCAACCUUUGAAAGCCGAUGGAUACUGCAGGGCUAGAGUCCGGAAGAGGCGAGUGGAAUUCCUGGUGUAGCGGUGGAAUGCGCAGAUAUCAGGAGGAACACCGGUGGCGAAGGCGGGUCUCUGGGCAGUAACUGACGCUGAGGAGCGAAAGCGUGGGGAGCGAACAGG